UACGUAGGGUGCAAGCGUUGUCCGGAAUUAUUGGGCGUAAAGAGCUCGUAGGCGGUCUGUCGCGUCGGCUGUGAAAACCCGAGGCUCAACCUCGGGCCUGCAGUCGAUACGGGCAAACUAGAGUACUGCAGGGGAGACUGGAAUUCCUGGUGUAGCGGUGAAAUGCGCAGAUAUCAGGAGGAACACCGGUGGCGAAGGCGGGUCUCUGGGCAGUAACUAACGCUGGAGGAGCG
rnacentral:rRNA from 1 species